rnacentral:rRNA from 1 species
AGGAUAAACGCUGGCGGCGUGCCUAACACAUGCAAGUCGAACGUGCUUUCGCGCAAGCGAGAGCGAGUGGCGGACGGGUGAGUACCACGUGGGUACCUACCGUGAGGUGAGGAAUACCACCGAGAAAUCGGUGACAAGACCGCAUAUGCUUCGCAAGAAGCAAAGUUUCGCGCAAGCGAGACGCCACACGAUGGGCCUGCGCCUGAUUAGCUGGUUGGUGAGGUAAUGGCUCACCAAGGCUGCGAUCAGUAGCUGGUCUGAGAGGAUGAUCAGCCACACUGGGAUUGAGAACGGCCCAGACUCCUACGGGGGGCAGCAGUGAGGAAUUUUCGUCAAUGGGGGCAACCCUGAACGAGCAACGCCGCGUGCAGGACGACACUUUUCGGAGCGUAAACUGCUUUUCUCGGGAAGAGAACGGACGGUACCCGAGGAACAGGCCCGGCUAACUACGUGCCAGCAGCCGCGGU